CUUGUGUUAUAAUAAAACUCACCAGAACUCAGCGUCGAUCGUGAACUUCUGUAUUUCGGAAGGCGAAGCGAGGUACAGGCCGUGCCCGCGGUUACUGAAGCAGAACGUCUUCGCUAUCCUGAAAUUCCACCAGAUCACUCAUUAACGCCAGUACAUAUCAAUUUAGAAUUAUGAAAAGAAUAGAUUACUCUUUAUUUUGACCUGUUUCAGAUAGAAGAAUAGAACGGAAAUUUUCAUCGAAGAACGAAAAUUCGGAAGUCUUCAGAAGUGACAGAAGUGAAGGCAAGUACAGAGAUUAAUACUGGCAAAUAUCUCACCUCAAAGAUCCGGCAUCCUCAUUUGAUGUCUAAAAGGAUACAGACUAUCGGUCACUGAAGACGGCAUUAGCACAGAACGGGAAAUUCAGUUUCAAGCAUUCUAUCUUGUUCGUCGGGUUAUCAAGUGUGUGAGUCGUGACAAAAACGUACAAGUGAGAAAAGUUACCUGAGUUCGGUGAGAGGGAGGAAGUCGACGUCGAUGAGAGGCCGCAGUGAGGGCAGACUGUACGCCGCCAGGUGCCCGGUUGACAAGUAAUUGACCAA